rnacentral:snRNA from 2 species
AGCUUUGUGCAGUGGCAGUAUCAUAGCCAAUGAGGUUUAUCCAAGGCGCGAUUAUUGCUAAUUGAAAGUACAUAAUCUGACUAUUAAGUGGAUUAUCUGCUGAGUACAAUCUGCAUAUUAUUUAAAUGU